rnacentral:rRNA from 2 species
CUAAUCUGCGAUAAGCGCCGGUAAGGUGAUAUGAACCGUUAUAACCGGCGAUACCCGAAUGGGGAAACCCAGUGUGACUCGUCACACUAUCAUUAACUGAAUCCAUAGGUUAAUGAGGCGAACCGGGGGAACUGAAACAUCUAAGUACCCCGAGGAAAAGAAAUCAACCGAGAUUCCCCCAGUAGCGGCGAGCGAACGGGGAGGAGCCCAGAGCCUGAAUCAGCAUGUGUGUUAGUGGAAGCGUCUGGAAAGGCGCGCGAUACAGGGUGACAGCCCCGUACACAAAAGCGCAUGUGCUGUGAGCUCGAUGAGUAGGGCGGGACACGUGGUAUCCUGUCUGAAUAUGGGGGGACCAUCCUCCAAGGCUAAAUACUCCUGACUGACCGAUAGUGAACCAGUACCGUGAGGGAAAGGCGAAAAGAACCCCGGCGAGGGGAGUGAAAAAGAACCUGAAACCGUGU